AGCUGGGGGAGCCCUCGGGCUGAGAGAAGCGGAGCUUCAACCCUUUGAACCUGUGUAGUUAAUCCUACCGUAGGGAAGCGCAUAAGU
rnacentral:ncRNA from 1 species